UUCGUUUCCUUUGCUGAGAUAUCUAAAAGCGGGCAAUACUUACUGAGGAAAAAAAAAGGUGUAUGAUCUUCUCAUUUGAAGAUUAGAGAUGUGAAGAACAAGGAUAAGAAGAAAGAUGAAAACUUGGUUAGUGAACACGAAUUCUAGGGUUUGUUCUUCAAUUUUUGGAUAUUCUCAUGUUUUAAUUCCUAAUUCUUCCGGUUCUUAAAAGCGUGGAUUAUUUGGAGGAAAUGGGGCAGAUUCUUUGGAGAAACGUGCAACAUCUAUGGUUGAAGAGCAUGAAAAAACAAAACCUACUUCAUUCUAUAAGCGAUGAAGUACAUGAAUAUCUCUUGUGUUUAAUUGGAAAUCGUGAUUUCUGAUAUAUUUGAAUAAUCAACUGUACAUGCGUUGAAAAGAAGAGGUCUUAAGUUUAUUCUCCCUGAAGUCAUGCACCUGAUUUCAGUAGUUUUGAGUAGAGUUCGCUUUUGAGUCAGCUAAACCUCUGUAGACUUGGCUCAAUCAGACUUCAUAAAACCAGGUCAAUAUAGAGUCUCUACCGAUUGUUUAUUAAGCUAUUUUUUUUUUCAAAUGGAAAAUAGAUUCCUUGCUGUCUUUUAUAUAUAAUUUCACCAUGAGCUCGAAUGGUUCUUGCUUAAGUUAGUGAUACUACAGAUGUUAUGAUUUGUUUACUUUUCGUGUUGUGUUUCAAUAUGAUGUUCUCUUUCUUAUAGUGACAUUGAAAAAGAGAACAAUGUCUGAUAUGUUUAUUGUUUCAAAGGAGCAUGACCGGACAAGGAAACGAAAAACGAGAACAAAGCACUAGGCUGUGCUUAAUUCUUCUUGAUUUUCAUUACAACUAGAUGUCUAUGGUUCCUAGAGUAGCACUGUUAUUUUUCAAGCUUUAUCAGGUUAGACACUCUCAAUAGAUAACAAAUAGAGGUUAUUAGUGCAGAUUCAUGUUGUGACUAAGGCGUUUUUAUGAUUUCUUAAGUGUUGCAUUUUUAUUUGGCAAAGAUUUUUAUUCCCGAAUGUUGCCUGCAUUACAUUAUGUUUUUUUUUUCCUUACAUCCUGUGACUUUAUCUCAUUGAAAAGCGAAAGCGUGUUCAUUGGCCUAGAGAGCACAAUUUGUAGGUAUACUUCAUAAUGUCUCUCCAAACUCUGUGUACCUUAAAGGAUGACUUCUUCCUCGAUAUAUUAAUAACUUUCUCCUUCAAAUAUAUAAACGCAUUCAGCUAUUGGGACGUACUCUCAAGUAAUGCUCUUUUGGUAUAAAUAAAAUUUGCAUCAUAGUUUAUUUUAUGUCACGUUGUGAUCACAUGUUGUAUAUAUUGAGCUUUAUUCCAUGUGGUUGUAAGAUGCUUGAUUAAUUGAGAUGAGUUUGGGUUGUUUCGCUCUGAAUAACUGUAGAUGGGGAAAAACGAUUUG